rnacentral:rRNA from 1 species
GCGCGAAAACUUCGCAAUGGGGGAAACCCCGACGAGGGAAAGCCGAGUGCCAGCACAAAGUGCUGGCUGUUUUCCUGUCUAAAAAACAGGGAGAGUAAGGGCUGGGUAAGACGGGUGCCAGCCGCCGCGGUAAUACCUGCAGCCCGAGUGGUGCUCGUUAUUAUUGGGUCUAAAUCGUCCGUAGUCGGCUGCGUAGAUGCUUGGGUAAAUCGAGGCGCUCAACGUCUCGAAUUCCAGGUAGACCGCGCGGCUAGGGACCGGGAGAGGUGCAAAGUACUCCGGGGGUAGGGGUAAAAUCCUGUAAUCCUCGGGGGACUACCAGUGGCGAAGGCGUUGCACUAGAACGGCUCCGACGAUCAGGGACGAAGCCCUGGGGCGCAAACGGG